rnacentral:rRNA from 1 species
AGAGUUUGAUCAUGGCUCAGAGCGAACGCUGGCGGCGUGCUUAACACAUGCAAGUCGAGUGCGCGUCUGUAGCAAUACAGAUGGCGCACGGCGCACGGGUGCGUAACACGUGGGUAAUCUGCCCUUCGAUGGGGAAUAACUCGCCGAAAGGCGAGCUAAUUCCGCAUAACAUUCCUUGAACCUCGGUUUGGGGACUCAAAGCCGUAAGGCGUCGGAGGAGGAACCCGCGCACGAUUAGCUAGUUGGUAGGGUAACGGCCUACCAAGGCUUUGAUCGUUAGCUGGUCUGAGAGGAUGGCCAGCCACACUGGAACUGAGACACGGUCCAGACUCCUACGGGAGGCAGCAGUGGGGAAUCUUGCACAAUGGGCGAAAGCCUGAUGCAGCGACGCCGCGUGGGGGAUGAAGCUUUUCGGAGUGUAAACCCCUUUCGACCCGGACGAAUGCCCCGCAAGGGGAAUGACGGUACGGGUAUAAGAAGCCCCGGCUAACUACGUGCCAGCAGCCGCGGUAAGACGUGGGGGGCCAGCGUUGCUCGGAAUUACUGGGUGUAAAGGGUUCGUAGGCGGUGUAGCGAGUCGGGAGUGAAAUCUCUGGGCUCAACCCAGAGACUGCUUCCGAAACUGCUGUGCUUGAGUGUGGGAGAGGCGCGUGGAAUUGCAGGUGUAGCGGUGAAAUGCGUAGAUAUCUGCAGGAACACCCGUGGCGAAAGCGGCGCGCUGGACCACUACUGACGCUGAGGAACGAAAGCUAGGGGAGCAAACAGGAUUAGAUACCCCCGUAGUCC